GAAGGCGUUGGUGUUGUAAUUCUCUUUCGGCGGUGAAGAAAGAGGGAAUGCUAAUUCCAUUUAUUAAAGCAGGUACGUUAAGAAGAAGCACGGGCUAAUUACUUGCCAGCAGUGGCGGUAAUGCGUAGGCUGCGAGUUUUAUUAGCAAUUUGUGGGAUUAAAGGGUGUGCAGGCGGUUUUUUAUUCCAGAUGUGAAAUCUCCGGGCUUACCGUGGGAGGUGCAUUUGCAAGUGGAACACUAGAGUGUAGCGGUGGGGGGUAGAAUUCCGAUGUGUAACAGUGAAACGCGUAGAUAUCUGGAGGAAUACCGAUGGCGAAGGCAGCCCGCUGGCUUAACACUGUCCCUCAUGCAUGCAAGCGUGGGGAGCAAUCAGGAUUAGAUACCGGUGGUAGUCCUUCGCCUAUUACCGCUGUCAACUAGGUGUAGGGGGAGGAGAGUUCACUUAGUACCGCAUGAUAUGCAACUCAAAUGACAUGANCGGGACUCAAAGGAAAAUGGG
rnacentral:rRNA from 1 species